AGUCGAGCGCGCCCUUCGGGGUGAGCGGCGGACGGGUGAGUAACGCGUGGGAAUAUGCCCUUCUCUAAGGAAUAGCCUCUGGAAACGGAGAGUAAUACCUUAUACGCCCUUUGGGGGAAAGAUUUAUCGGAGAAGGAUUAGCCCGCGUUAGAUUAGGUAGUCGGUGGGGUAAUGGCCUACCAAGCCUACGAUCUAUAGCUGGUUUGAGAGGAUGAUCAGCCACACUGGGACUGAGACACGGCCCAGACUCCUACGGGAGGCAGCAGUAGGGAAUCUUAGACAAUGGGGGCAACCCUGAUCUAGCCAUGCCGCGUGUGUGAUGAAGGCCCUAGGGUCGUAAGGCACUUUCGCCAGAGAUGAUAAUGACAGUAUCUGGUAAAGAAACCCCGGCUAACUCCGUGCCAGCAGCCGCGGUAAUACGGAGGGGGUUAGCGUUGUUCGGAAUUACUGGGCGUAAAGCGCACGUAGGCGGAUUAGUAAGUUAGAGGUGAAAUCCCAGGGCUCAACCCUGGAACUGCCUUUAAUACUGCUAGUCUUGAGUUCGAGAGAGGUAAGUGGAAUUCCGAGUGUAGAGGUGAAAUUCGUAGAUAUUCGGAGGAACACCAGUGGCGAAGGCGGCUUACUGGCUCGAUACUGACGCUGAGGUGCGAAAGUGUGGGGAGCAAACAGGAUUAGAUACCCUGGUAGUCCACACCGUAAACGAUGAAUGCCAGACGUCAGCAAGUAUACUUGUUGGUGUCACACCUAACGGAUUAAGCAUUCCGCCUGGGGAGUACGGUCGCAAGAUUAAAACUCCAAGGAAUUGACGGGGGCCCGCACAAGCGGUGGA
rnacentral:rRNA from 1 species